rnacentral:rRNA from 1 species
CCUACGGGGGGCAGCAGUGGGGAAUAUUGCACAAUGGGGGAAACCCUGAUGCAGCGACGUCGCGUGAGCGAUGAAGUAUUUCGGUAUGGAAAGCUCUAUCAGCAGGGAAGAAAAUGACGGUACCUGACUAAGAAGCCCCGGCUAACUACGUGACAGCAGCCGCGGUAACACGUAGGGGGCAAGCGUUAUCCGGAUUUACUGGGUGUAAAGGGAGCGUAGACGGUCCUUCAAGCCAGAUGUGAAAGCCCUGGGCUCAACCCCGGGACUGCAGUUGAAACUGUAAGGCUAGAGUGUCGGAGAGGCAGGCGGAAUUCCUAGUGUAGCGGUGAAAUGCGUAGAUAUUAGGAGGAACACCAGUGGCGAAGGCGGCCUGCUGGACGAUGACUGACGUUGAUGCUCGAAAGCGUGGGGAGCAAACAGGAUUAGAUACCCCUGUAGUC